GAUGAACGCUGGCGGCGUGCCUAAUACAUGCAAGUCGAGCGAACAGACGAGAAGCUUGCUCCUCUGAUGUUAGCGGCGGACGGGUGAGUAACACGUGGAUAACCUACCUAUAAGACUGGGAUAACUUCGGGAAACCGGAGCUAAUACCGGAUAAUAUAUUGAACCGCAUGGUUCAAUAGUGAAAGACGGUUUUGCUGUCACUUAUAGAUGGAUCCGCGCGGCAUUAGCUAGUUGGUAAGGUAACGGCUUACCAAGGCAACGAUGCAUAGCCGACCUGAGAGGGUGAGCGGCCACACUGGAACUGAGACACGGUCCAGACUCCGACGGGAGGCAGCAGUAGGGAAUCUUCCGCAAUGGGCGAAAGCCUGACGGAGCAACGCCGGGUGAGUGAUGAAGGUCUUCGGAUCGUAAAACUCUGUUAUUAGGGAAGAACAAAUGUGUAAGUAACUAUGCACAUCUUGACGGUACCUAAUCAGAAAGCCACGGCUAACUACGUG
rnacentral:rRNA from 1 species